CAAACGACUCUCGGCAACGGAUAUCUCGGCUCACGCAUCGAUGAAGAACGUAGCAAAAUGCGAUACUUGGUGUGAAUUGCAGAAUCCCGUGAACCAUCGAGUUUUUGAACGCAAGUUGCGCCCGAAGCCUUUCGGCCGAGGGCACGUCUGCCUGGGUGUCACAC
rnacentral:rRNA from 2 species